rnacentral:sRNA from 1 species
UUGAAAGCCCUGGAGACUAGAAUUCUCUGUUUAUACACAGAACUAGAACAGCCAAGGCAGUGGCAAUGCAAGCUUCCACCAUGCACUAUCUGACAACAUGCCUCAGCCCUGAUGUGGCAGGGGAUUAGCAAGAAGGGUGAAAAAAAUAAUUUCCAGGCCUCUUUAGAGUCUUGUUUAA